ACGCUUGAAGUCAGUCGCGUCGGGUCGGAAAUCAACCUUGCUUCUGCUGGGUGUACUUUCUGUCCGACGGGUCAGCAUCAAUUUUGGCUGCUGGAUAAGGUUCUUUGGGAAUGUGGCAUCCUUGGAUGUGUUAUAGCCCUUGGGACGCAUGCAGCUGCUGGGAUUGAGGAACUCAGCACGCCUUCUUGGCUGGGCUUGUCCACACCGAACGUGCUUAGGAUGCUGGCGUAAUGGCUUUAAUCGACCCGUCUUGA
rnacentral:rRNA from 1 species